AAGGAAUAUUGCACAAUGGGCGCAAGCCUGAUGCAGCGACGCCGCGUGUGGGAUGAAGGGGCUACGCCUCGUAAACCACUGUAGCCCGGGACGAAAAACGCCUUAGAGGCGUUAGACGGUACCGGGAAAGUAAGGGUCGGCUAACUACGUGCCAGCAGCCGCGGUAAUACGUAGGACCCAAGCGUUGUCCGGAUUUACUGGGUGUAAAGGGUGCGCAGGCGGAUGGGUAAGUCAGGGGUGAAAGUCUGCAGCUUAACUGUAGAAUUGCCUUUGAUACUGCUCAUCGUGAGUGUGGGAGAAGUUGAUGGAAUUCCAGGUGUAGCAGUGAAAUGCGUAGAUAUCUGGAAGAACACCAAUGGCGAAGGCGGUCAACUGGCCCAUAACUGACGCUCAUGCACGAAAGCGU
rnacentral:rRNA from 1 species